rnacentral:lncRNA from 1 species
AUAUAAGUAAGUCUCUGAAUGACUGGUAGAACAAACCGAAAAAUAGGAUGGAGAGGUUUGGAACAGCAUGAUUAGCAAAAUUGACAUAUCUGUCUUUUAAUAUAGGUAGAAACAGAGUUAGAUAAAAAAAGGACUUGUCUCGGAGCAUGAUUUCUGAAAAUAGUGGAAUCGAGUUUGAAUCUGGAUGCAUGUCCUCCAAGAAGCAGAAUCAAAAUAUAAAUAAAAGACUGGCUUAAGAUGAAAGGAAACCUUACAAACGAAAAGAAGCCAGAUGAGAGGCACUUAACUGAGAAUGAAAAGAAACUGAGUGGACAAAAUAAUUAUGAGAAGAUGAACCUUCAAAUCAGAAAGAGGGCAAAAAGCUUAUUUGAUACUAUGGGAACUCAAAAGAGAGUGAACACAAAUGUGAAAAUUCCAGGAGUAAAGAAAAGUAGCAUAGCUAAAUUAAGAGCAUGAGAAAAUGUAUACAAUUUUGAGUAAUAACAGAAAUCAAAAGUAACUAUUGUAUGUUAUAUUUUAGUAGAGCAACACUGAAGAAGAAUGAAAACAAGAAAUAAUAUUAAAUAUGAACAUAUGGAGAACAGAAUAAUAUUUUUAAAAUUUUUAGUUUCUAAGCUAAUCUGAAAUUUUAAUUUUGUUUUCUUAUGUAAUACCAGAGUUAUAGGUAUUAUCUAAUAACACUAUUUUCAGUGAUAUUUUAAGGAGUUGUCCUAGAAAAAUUUUAUUUUUUAAAAAUGUACAUUUAAAAAUACAUUAAAUGUGUAUAUACAUCAAUCAUAUGUAUCGAUUUCUGUUUUUCUUGAAUUGCAAAUGAAAUUUGUAUUUUUGUGUUCCUGGAAUAAAAUAAACUUGAAUGGAUUGUAAUAUGUUAUUCAUGCUGCAAUUCAAUGUAUUUGAAUACUUUAAAAAUGUUACAUUUAUAGUUAACAGAUACUGACCUAUAAAUUUUCUGUCAUGUAAUGAUGCUGUGAGACAAUCUAAGAAGAAUUAAAAUUUAAAUUCAUAUAUUCCUACUUUUUUCUCUGUUCUCUAACUGUAAUAUAUUUUAAUUACAGAUGGAGGAACAGAUAGAUGUUAGAUAGAUACAUAAAUAAUAGAUAGAUCAUCCAAAAUUCUUAUUCUGAUGGUUUUAUGUAGUCAGUAUUUACCUCUAUUUUUCUACAUGUUUAUCCUUCCAAUUUAGUUCAUUACUUUCUGCACCUUUGAUGUCAUAUAUAUAAACAGGAAAUAACACAUGGUGGCUGGGAUGUAGAGAGAGCCACAGGACUUGUGAAUAAAAUCCACAGGCAAGGAUGUGGCGAUUCCUUUUGCAAUAUUGGAGGGAAUGCCAAACCCUAUGUUUGCUGUGGAAAAGAGUAUGGUAUUUCCUCAAAACAUCAAAAUGGUAUUGCCUUAUGAUUCGGCAGCCCCACAGCUCAAGAUAGCAAAAGAAUUGAAAGCAGAGUCUUGAAAAAAUAUUUGCACAUCCAUGUUUGCAGCAGCAUUAUUGGCAAUAGCUAAAACAUAGAAGCAAUUGAAGUGUUCAACCACAGAUGAAUGGAUAAGCAAAACAUGAUAUAUACAUACAAUGGAAAAUUAUUCAGCCUUAAACAUGAGGGAAAUAUUCUGACAUAUGUUGCAACUUGGAUGAAACUUGAGGAUAUUAUGCCAAGUGAAAUAAGCUAGUCAGUGAGGGACAAAUACAGUAUAAUUCCAUUUGUAUAAGAGACUUAAAGUGGACAGAAUCAUAGAGACAGUACAAUGAUGAUUGCCAGAAGCUGGGGGGAGGAAGACAUGGGGAAGUACUGUUUAACGGGUAUAGAGUUUCAGUUUCACAAGAUGAAACGAGUUAUGGAGAUGGAUGGUAGGGAUGGCUGCACAAUGUUAUGACUCUAUUUAGUACCACUGAACUGUACACUUAAAAUGGUUAACAGAGUACAUUUUAUGUUAUGUGUAUUUUACCACAAUAAAAAAAUAAAAUACCUUAGGAACAUUUUCCUGAAAGAGUCCACAUAAAAUUCAUUUUAAUGCAUGUGUUUAUGCAUAGCUUUCUAUUUUUCUCUUUUCUAUUUAUAUUCCAAAUUAGAAUAUAAUGCUAAUCAAGCAUAGUGGCUGUGUUUCUUGCUUCCUCUAGUCUGCAGGUAGCAUACAAAUGUAAUAAACUACUCAUUAAUGUCACAUCUAUUUAUUUUCUGCCUUAUACCAAGCUUGUGGGAUUCUCUUAAAUACAACAUUUUAAUACUUACACCUAUGCAAUACCCAUUAGCAUCGCCUUCCUAAAUCAGGGGAAAUUGAGUCUCUGUAAGCUGCAGUAACUUACUAAGAUACAAAACUCAGCAUUAAAGUCUGUAUACUUCAAUAUCCUGCCCUCUUCUCAUGUGUCUUUACUGCCUUUUAUGUAUGUGUUAGAUGUUCAAUAAAUUCUCU